rnacentral:lncRNA from 1 species
GGCGAGCGAUCAAUGCAGACGAUGUGGGCGGCCUGCGAUGGACUCCAGCUGAGGUGCGACUGGAUUGGGAUCCAGCGGAAGCGCCGGGCGCGGGUGAAUCGGGGGCCGGUCAAUCACGCCGUAGGGCGAUCCGCUGCGAGGUACUCUGUAGAAAGGUGGGGAGACAUGGGCGAUAAUGGCGGCUCAUCUCAUGGAAACUGCUCCAACCAGACUUCAAACGCACAAUCAUACUUCAGUUUCUAAUCGCGCAUUCAUGGCGGGGAACGACGUCUCAUUUGGUGGACACUUCAGUUUCCAAUUGGUACGUGUAUAUAGGCUUCCUCCCCUGCCCCUUUUCGCUCAUCCUCUCUGAUCCAGAUCCAGCAGCACAACAUCUUCAGCAUCGCCCGCUGGAGCCGUUGAAGCAUGGGGGCGAACGGCCCGGCUAGCAGCACCCCCGCCUCGUCAUCCUCUUCGUCGGUCACGGCUGGCAGUGGCGGGACAGCCCAGAAGCCGUGGUUGUUCGUCGGGCUCGGGAACCCGGCAGGAUGUACAAUCUAAUGGGAUUAAGCGCCAUCGAUGAGGAGAGGUGGAUGCUUGAGGUACUAGCUGCUAAUGUUUCAAUCCUACUAGGCAGUGCCUUGCUAAUUGCUAUUAAUGUCUACUACGGCAGUGGAAAGGAGGAGUUCAUUGCAGUCUGUAAGAUGGAUGUGUGAUCCGUGAAGUGAAGAUCCAUCCGGCAUCCGUGGUUGGCCGAGGCAAAGAUUUAGUGCUGAAUAGAAAAUAAGUACAUCUGUGGGAAGUGCAUCAGUAGGAUGCAAAUGAAACUUUUGAGACUUAAUGAAGUUGAGCAAAACUGCAGAAAAGAAUUUCAGUCGUGCAAACUAAGUAGAGCCUCCCUCGCAAAAA